rnacentral:rRNA from 1 species
UACAGAGGGUGCAAGCGUUAAUCGGAAUGACUGGGCGUAAAGGGCACGUAGGUGGCUUUAUAAGUUAGGUGUGAAAUCCCCGGGCUUAACCUGGGAACUGCAUUUAAUACUGUGAAGCUAGAGUAUGGGAGAGGGCAGUGGAAUUUCCGGUGUAGCGGUGAAAUGCGUAGAUAUCGGAAGGAACACCAGUGGCGAAGGCGACUGCCUGGCCUGUUACUGACACUGAGGUGCGAAAGCGUGGGGAGCAAACAGG